rnacentral:rRNA from 1 species
GACGUAGGGCGCGAGCGUUGUCCGGAUUUAUUGGGCGUAAAGAGCUCGUAGGCGGCUUGUCGCGUCGAAUGUGAAAACUCGGGGCUCAACUCCGAGCUUGCAUUCGAUACGGGCAGGCUAGAGUUCGGUAGGGGAGACUGGAAUUCCUGGUGUAGCGGUGAAAUGCGCAGAUAUCAGGAGGAACACCGGUGGCGAAGGCGGGUCUCUGGGCCGACUACUCGCUGAGGAGCGAAAGCGUGGGGAGCGAACAGG